GCCGGGCGUGGUGGCUCACGCCUGUAAUCCCAGCACCUUGGGAGGCUGAGGUGGGUGGAUCACCUGAGGUCAGGAGUUCAAGACCAGCCUGACCAACAUGGAGAAACCCUGUCUCUA
rnacentral:SRP_RNA from 1 species